rnacentral:lncRNA from 1 species
AUCAAUCAAAGUUUUGUGUACAAGGGAGGGUGAAGGGUCUGACCACUGCACCCCAUCUCACAUGGAAUGGUUGAGUAUUCAGCAACCUUGCCAAUCAUUGUUCCACUGUUAUCCUUGACCUGUUCAUGAGUAUUCCUGCUGUAUGCACAUCGCUCGAGCAGUCUAAUAAUAGAUUAAGAAACCAUGAACAGUUUUGAGGUGAUCGGGUCGAACUUCUGUUUGUUUGGUCGAGAGCAGCAGGUGGGGAACACGAGAAAGUCCAAAUUGCUUCGUCAAUCAACAAAGAACACAUACACUCGAUGAAAAGCUCAAAAGAAUAUCGAGAUGAUCAUAGUGAAUCCGACAUUUGAACUGAAGUUUUGGUGAAAGAGUCAUAGAUCUGAAGCUGAAUUUGAUCGAACUCUAAGCAACUGAAAUUAAUAACCAAGGAAAAGCCUAUUUACAAUCCAAAUGAAGACCUCUCGGUCUCUGAUAGACUAGGAUUAGAAUCGAGUACUUGAUGCUGCAGGCUCAGAGCGUGAGCAUGGAGAUGGCGGUCAACAUCUCGUCGCUGGGCGCGAGCAGCCUCAGCCGCUGCCGAUCCCCGGUGGCCCGGUCGUGGAGCAAGCGGAGGGCCCUCUCCCACCGGCCGUGCCGCCGGUGCAUGGCGCUGGCGGUGGCGUCGACGACGAAGACGCGGCCGAGGCGGAAGGCGAAGAGGCGGAGGGAGACCGCCAGGUCGGUGCAGGAGUUGGGGAGCCGGGCGGCGACGAAGGGGAGCUUCAGGGCGAAGGGGCAGAGGAGGGAGGCCAGGAUCUGGAAGCUGCUGUGGCCUCCGGCGAGGAGCUUGAGCUUGCCGACGAUGAGCAGGUGGACUCCCAUUGAUGGCCGCAGACCUCCCACUAUCCUCCUUCGUUGGGCUCGCAGUGUCACCACUCCCUUCUUGCUUAUCUGCUUCUAAUAGUGGAGGGGAAGAAAGCUGUGACAACUUGACGUCAACAUCAGAGUUGCCAUGUCGACAGGAGGAGAAGUAACAUUGGAGGAUAAUAUAUGUGAACGGACCAUAUAGCCCUUACCGACGCAUCAGGUAAAUGAGAAAGAUGAGUUGCUAUCAGCCGUACCUCGAUCUUCUCGCUCGUAGGUGCUGAAGCGGAUAAAAUGACAUGAUUUCUUCCCGUCAAUAUGGUUCAAGACAUAACUAGUAGAUCACAUAUGAUGAGAUUUGGCACUUAAUUGGAAGAACCUAUAGAUCGCAUGCUUAAUUCAAAGG